CACCACCCCAAGUUUCCUUUUUUUUUUUUUUUUUGUUUUUUUUUCUUAUAACAUCACUUUCGUCCCCUCGGUCAACUUCUGUUCCUCCGAUAUUCUUGAUUUCCGUUCUCGCUUAUCGGCAAGUGCGCCGCCAUCGAACUUUUGGCCACCCCCAAAAUCCAUGGCAACCCAAGAACACCACCAUCACCGCACCCACGAGCAAACUCCACUCUAUUUUCGUUCUUUCCGGCGUCUUUGGGCUUUCGUUUUUCCUUCCUUGUUGCGAUGAGAUGCUAGGUUUUGGAUAUAUUUGGCUCGCGAAGGAGGGCAUCGGCGGCCCCGUCGGGACCGGGUGUUUCUAUUGCUGAAAAAGGGGAAUGUGUAGAGCUGCUUAGUCGAAGGUAGUUUGCAUAGGAAACAGCCACAACAGCUGCAGCCAUAGAAAUUUUCAUAAACUUUUCAUUCUUGAUGGAGCAAAGCAACCACUUGUCAUUGGAUUGCUUUUGGCGGGCAUCUCUGAACAUUGUUAGCAACCAUAUGAUAGUCUUCAGGGAGGAGGAGGCCUAAGAAGUAAAAACAAGGACUGUACUAUUCCUUUUAGUGUUCCUUCUGGAACGUGUUGGAGGUCAUAUAGGAGAAUGCAACUGAGGUUCAGAGGAUUUGUUUUGCAUGAUAAACUAUGCUGAACGAAGCUCUUUUUUUCCUUUUCCCCUUUGAUUUUUUAAUUGGAGCAGAACAAGUGGACUUGGUCAGAUAAUUUAAUAUGAAGCUUACUAUUUUUGCUAAGGUGUCAAUCAAAUUAUCUAAUCAGCUGAAUUCAGAUAUUGAGAAAAACCUUACUUGAGGAGUUGGCACAAGGCUCAGAUAUUGGAGGACGUGGUUUAAUACAAGCUGUUGGAGAUCAUCUGAGUCUAGUCAUGUCCUUUCUGUGAUUGUUUCAAGUUGUUUCCAUAUUGGUUUCAUCUGCAUUCUGGAGAUUGUAGACUAAGUACUCAUCAAGAAAAAAACAUGUUGAAGAUUGUGGUGCUGAAACUGAGAGGAGUGCAGGAUGUUAGAUCUUGUGCUAGACUCCAUAUUAGGGUUCCUCUAUCAGCAAGACCUCAAUUAGCAUAUAAGGUGUGGGAACAGGUCUCUGCUUUUUGGGUUGUUCUCCUGGUCCCUCAAACAUUUCCAUUAGUCUUGAUCCAAGGAUGGUGUUUACUGGUGUCAACAAAUUGCGGGCUUGGCAAAAGGCAACGACACUGAAGUUGCGCAGGCGGGAACAAAAGGCUGCUCGCAGGGAGAAACUGGAAAACAGCUAGAGAAAUUAUUAACAUGCUGCGAAACAAACCUCUUUAGCUCACAACCGCCCACCCGUCGUAGAUACUGAGGGUGUUGCACUAAGAUUACUCUUACAUGUUUCAUUUUCUCCAAGGUUUCCAUGUACAGGGGGCGUUCUAUGUUUUUGAGUUACUUCGAAGUGAUAUCAUCUAUUGAUGGUGCGGUGCAGAGGAGUGUCAAAAAGUGCGGGGACAUGACUUGAUGAAGCUGAUAUUCUGAGCUGAAAAGAUUCCCCAGAAUCACUUAUUUUUGUUAGCUGAAUGAUGCCGACUUUGAAAUCCUCGAGGUCUUAGGAAGAAUGGACAAUCUUGGCAAUCUUGGACUAAUUGAAUACGCAACCAAGAGCUUACACUUGUGCUUGCGUAGGAGGAUA